rnacentral:rRNA from 1 species
ACAUGCAAGUCGAACGGAARRGCCCCUUUGGGGGUACUCGAGUGGCGAACGGGUGAGUAACACGUGAGUAACCUGCCCUUGACUUCGGGAUAACUUCAGGAAACUGGGGCUAAUACCGGAUAGGAAUCCUUGCUGCAUGGUGGGGGUUGGAAAGCUUCGGCGGUUUUGGAUGGACUCGCGGCUUAUCAGCUUGUUGGUGGGGUAGUGGCUUACCAAGGCUUUGACGGGUAGCCGGCCUGAGAGGGCGACCGGCCACAUUGGGACUGAGAUACGGCCCAGACUCCUACGGGAGGCAGCAGUGGGGAAUAUUGCACAAUGGGCGGAAGCCUGAUGCAGCAACGCCGCGUGCGGGAUGACGGCCUUCGGGUUGUAAACCGCUUUCAGCAGGGGCGAAGCUUGUGGUGACGGUACCUGCAGAAGAAGCACCGGCUAACUACGUGCCAGCAGCCGCGGUGAUACGUAGGGUGCGAGCGUUGUCCGGAUUUAUCGGGCGUAAAGAGCUCGUAGGUGGUUGAUUGCGUCGGAAGUGAAAACUUGGGGCUUAACCCUGAGCGUGCUUUCGAUACGGGUUGACUUGAGGAAGGUAGGGGAGAAUGGAAUUCCUGGUGGAGCGGUGGAAUGCGCAGAUAUCAGGAGGAACACCAGUGGCGAAGGCGGUUCUCUGGACCUUUCCUGACGCUGAGGAGCGAAAGCGUGGGGAGCGAACAGGCUUAGAUACCCUGGGUAGUCCACGCUGUAAACGGUGGGUACUAGGGUGUGGGGGUCCAUUCCACGGGAUUCCGUGCCGUAGCUAACGCAUUAAGUACCCCGCC